ACCUCAGCCUCCCGAGUAGCUGGGACUACAGGCGUGAACCACCAUGCUCAGAUCCCAUUUAUGCCGGCACCUCAGAGAACUGUGGCUUCCAGGUGUUGCAGAUGAAGUGACACAUCAUGACACGCACCAUGCCAGUGGAAUGGCCAAGAACGGAGCUGUCUCUGGGAAGAGAAUGAAUCUGCUGAGGUUCGUUUCCUUCUCAAAAUAAACAUGCACCCAGACAUCCUGUCUUCAAAAUGCGACUGGCUUUUCCUGUCAGGUUGAAACGAC